UUGAACCUCAUGGAUCUUUAAUGUGAAAUACCUGAUCUAUAAGUUGAAUCUUAUAAAAUAUCAACUUGACGAGUUUCGACUUAAAUUCUCGAACGACACAUCCUUGAAAAGGAAAGAAAUAAACCAUCUCACGAUGGAACUUCUGAUGCAUGGGAGACUCAAUCUACCCAUAACGAUAUCAAACAAAGAAUUCGAGGUAGAAGAAGCCA
rnacentral:lncRNA from 1 species